rnacentral:rRNA from 1 species
UGCCAGCCGCCGCGGUAAUACGAAGGGUGCAAGCGUUGUUCGGAUUUAUUGGGCGUAAAGCGCGCGUAGGCGGAUGCAUAAGUCUGGUGUGAAAUCUCGGGGCUUAACCCCGAAACUGCGCCGGAAACUGUGUAUCUAGAAUCCAGAGGGGAAAGGGGAAUUUCUCAUGUAGGGGUAAAAUCCGUAGAGAUGAGAAGGAACACCUGAGGCGAAGGCGCCUUUCUGGAUGGGUAUUGACGCUGAGGUGCGAAAGCGUGGGGAGCAAACAGGAUUAGAUA